AGGGAAAAUCACCCUGUCGUCAACCAAUGCGACGAAAGUCUACAACAAUGUAGACAUGCGCUCAAGAUGCCCUUAUGCGCGUUUACCCCGUCAUAUCACGGUGCCGACUAGGAAAGGCAAGACAGCGAUCCAUAUAUUCGAUACUGACAACAGGAAAACCGUAUCUCAGUUCCUCACUGCCAAAUGGGAUCCAUAUUGCCAGGUACAUGCUCCGAUUCGAAGUGGAAGACCACACUGGCACCACAGUUCUUGUGGCAUUGGAUAGCUAGAUCCAAAAAUUGGUCCGUCUAACUGCAGCUGAGCUCAUAGGCACGUCAAAGGUACUUCAUAAAGCUGUGGAUUUCCAGAUUACUCUCAACUCCUUCAACAUGAAACAGAAAGUCCCAACUAGCUUCACUGUCACCCGCCAUAACACCAAUACUAUGCCUGCACAUUCAGGAUCGGCAGGGGAAGUUUUGCCUCCGUGAAAGUGGAAGGGGCCUCAAGCACCGUCGAUGAUCCGCUCGCAAUGAAAGCUUGACUUGACGAAACCAUUCAGAUCGAUGAUACUGGAGCUAAUUAAUGAUUUUCAGCCUUAAUGUUUGCCUUGCAUUGGAUUCAAUCUCUCCAUUAAGGAAAUAUGGUGGUACGUUGGAUUUGGAGAGUAAUUCGUGACCGUCGGAUUUUUUUUUUUUUCCUCUUUCUCAAUGAUGACCAUCAGGCGAAUAAAAAAAAAUUCAUCGUCGUUUCCUCAACUGUCUUUUGAUUUCGAAAAAAUUCUUCGUCUCCUCAACUCUGUCUUUUGAUCUCAACAACAACAACGAUAAAUAGCCCUAAUCUUUAACCUUGCGUCAAUCUCAAGUAGUUGUUUCGAGGAGGAUUAUUUUCAGAAUCUAGGGUUCUCUUUCGAAUCAACAGGUAAAUUGAAUUCAGCCCUGUUCUCUUUCGAUCUCAA